UGCAAUGCAAUCAUAUAUAACAGAAGCAGAGAAUGAAAAUCUGUGAAUGUAUUGGAUAUUUUAUGAAGUAUUGAUAUGUCAGUGUAAGCGUGAAAAGGAAAACAUGAUUGCAAGUUUCAAGCAAUGGCGUUUAUUAGAUGGAGCUAUGGAUGGGUGGCUGACAGAAACAUGAUGAAAUUCUGGUCACCAGAAUUAAGCUCUCAAUGUAUAUAAAAUGCUAGAUUCAAGUGUGCAACAGUUCAUUACAGAAUAUUAAGAGUUAAAAUGUUAAAAGUAUGAGAUUUCAACAUUAUAUUGCUUCUGGGUAGCUCUUUCUGUAUUAAUUUCAAUCUAGAGUAGAUUAUGUCUGCUGAUCAUCUUGUCUUAAAAUCUAAAACUGUUGAUAAUCAGUAGAGGAAAUCAUAGCUUCAGAUCUUCUUACCUGGCUUAGUGGCUGAAAAGUGUUGAGAGAAUAGAACUGAAAAUGAAGCAGUGAAGUUGACUGUCUUACAAAGCUAGCUGCUAAGGCCUAAGAGUAGCAGAUAAUCAGCAACAACCAUUGCAAAGCCAUGAAUUAAGCAAAGAAAAGCAUGUGAUGAAUCAAGCAAAUGAAAGAAAAUUACCUGGACAGGAUGCUUGAAAUUUGGUGAUAGACCUUGGACAUCAAAAGAAAUUAAAAACAGUGAAGAAGAAAGAAUGUUGUGGGUACAAUAGCCAAGAAGAUGAAGAAAGUUAAGAUAGAAACAGGCAAAAUUCCGGGGUAGGUUCCACAAAGGCAGAAUGUUGUUCACCCUUUUUAGGAAUAGUCAAAAUUGGAAUUAUCAUUGUACCAAAAAAAUAUUAGUCACUAAACUAUUGCUAAUUUUUGUUUCAGUCACUCAAUUAAAAAAAGUUACAAUUUCACCACUAAUAUUUUUGAAAUUUUUUUUUGUCACUCAUGGAACUUUUUAAUUGAUUUAAUAAUAAUUUACUUUCAGUCAAUUUGAUUUUAAUAAUAUAUAAAAUGGUAAAAAGUUAAAAAUUAUGUUUAAAAUUUUAGAACAUUAUAAAAUUAAAAAAAUAAAAAAGUGAGAAAAUUAGGGAUAAUUAUUUUUAAACCCUACAAAAUUUCUCUAUAUUAUCUAUAUUCAAUACUCAUUCUUUAAAAACAAACAUAGAAAAAAUAUUAAGCAAAAAUAUUUGUUUUUUACGUCUUCAGUUACUUGACAUAGCUUUUACAUUAUAAGAAAAGAUAAAAUUCUGAAUAUAAUUUCUUUUUACAAUUUGGGUUUUGAAAAAAAAUUAAAAUGUAAUGGAAUUUUGAAUUGAGUUUGGAAAAGAAAAAUUAUGGUAUAUUUUGUAUUCUUUUGACUAAAAAUAUGGCAUCAAGGUCAAUUUCAUAAGUAUUUGUAAUAUCAAUUCUAGAUGUUCUUCAAGGGCAUAUUCAAGUUAUUCAGUUAUUUAUUUCUCAAUACAAUUCAGUUAUUCAACAACAUAUUCAAGAUUUUAUUUUUUUAGAGUUUUUAUAUACAUUUUCCUAUUUUAUAAAUAUUUUUUAGUUUUUUUUUAUAAUUUUAUACAAAAUCAAGGUCGAAUUGACAGAAAAUAUAAAAUUUGAGGACUAAAACUAUUAUUAUACCAACUAAAACAAGUGCCACUUAAUAGUCAGGUGACAAAAAACAAACAAUUUGAAAAACACUAGUGACCAAAUUGUAACUCUUUUUUAGUUAAGUGACCAAAACGAAAACUUACCCAUGCUUGAACGACUAAUGGUGUAGUUUACCCUAAAUUCUUUUAAGAAAUUUAGUUUAAAACCUUUUUAUCUAUACUAUGUAUUAAGUCUUUUACUGAGUUGGUUUAACCCAUCAAUCGGUCCCAACUCAGUAAGAAAAUUAUGAAAAAAUAAUUUUAUUUGUAAAGUAAGAUAUAUGAUUAUGAUGGUGUUUUCGUCUUUUCAUAUCUUUAUAAAUUAAUAAAAAAUUAUCCAUAACGAAAUUUGAACCAAUGACACCAUACAUAUAAAACUUUUCUGAAGUCCAUUGAGUCAUUCACAUUUGCUUCGGCCCCCAAGGCUCGUAUUCAAGUGUUACACAUAACCAUUUACAUAAUUCUUCAUUUUGAUUUACAUCAGUACACAAGUGGUUCCAUAUCAUCAUACCAUUGCAUUUUGAUAUCAUUUACCAAGUUUACCAUUUAUAAUCCCUAUUAAUAGGACUCAAACGAAUAUACAGAUCAUCCAAGCAACACACCAAACUAGCACCGAUGUGUAUAAUCAAAUAAACUGAAGUAACAAAAGUUGGCACAGGAAGCACAUUCCUAGCGCACAAAACAUAUACUGGCACAAGAGGUGCAUCUUGAUGCACAAAGUGCAUACUGGAACAUAAAAUGCAUCCUGGCACAUGAGGUGCAUUCUGACGCAUAAGUGCACAAACUCAUAGACAAUCUAAUCCUAUAACAUGUUAACUAUCUGACUCAACUAGCAGACUAGUUAAUAAGGUACCAAUGUUCAAUUUCAUUUUAUAAUUAAAUACAUAUAUCAUUUCACAAUCAUAACCUUAAUCACAAUCCAAUUCAUUAUCAAUACACAUUAUCCAUAACAAGGUUCUCAAUACAAAGCUAGCUGCUAAGAGUAGCAGAUAAUCAGCAACAAUCAUUGCAAAGUCAUGAAUUAAGCAAAGAAAAGCAUGUGAUGGAUUAAGCAAAUGAAAGAAAAUUACCUUGA
rnacentral:lncRNA from 1 species